UACAGAGGGUGCGAGCGUUAAUCGGAAUUACUGGGCGUAAAGCGCGUGUAGGCGGCCAGAUAAGUCCGCUGUGAAAUCUCGAGGCUCAACUUCGAGCUGUCGGUGGAAACUGUCUGGCUAGAGUCCGGAAGAGGAGAAUGGAAUUCCUGGUGUAGCGGUGAAAUGCGCAGAUAUCAGGAAGAACACCCGUGGCGAAGGCGGUUCUCUGGGACGGUACUGACGCUGAGACGCGAAAGCGUGGGGAGCGAACAGG
rnacentral:rRNA from 1 species